rnacentral:lncRNA from 1 species
CGGCGGUUCUGGAACCACACCUGGCCCAAGACGGAAGGAGAGACGGUGAAGCAGGGGGAGAAAGAAGAAAAUGGGAAAGAAAAGCACCGGUUAGGGUGGCCCAAGUUCUACUUCGGCUUGUUUUAACACCCUCCUCCCCAUGCGCUGUGAUCACCCCCGCGCGCACAUCCACCAAGUCUACCGCUUCUUAUUGCUGUGCAUUUUCGGAGAAACUUUCUUAGGGGGAGUGAGCACGCCAGGGACAUGAAGGCUUGCGGCAGAGUUUAAAAAGCCGCAGGUCCCAGAAAGACCCGAAAAGGGAAGGCCUUAUUUUGGUGGGCCUCUGUUCAGUCGGCUUCUUGAGCAAGCCCCGAGCUCGCCAUUCACCCCUAAGCCUAAGUUCUAAAGUUAAACUCUAAUUGGUAGAAGGAAAAGGGAUCCUCUCUGGGUUUGCUCCGCUGCCCAUCCCCGGCCUUUGAGCCUGGAAGAGCGUGCGAUGGUGCGCACCGCUUCUCGGUCGGGGGCUCACCCAGAGAGGCGCUGUGGCCAACUCGUGAGCGCACCUGUGUUUAACAGGUUGGAGUAAGUCAUGGUUCUUGACCUUCAUGAAGUCACAGACCCUUUGCAAAUCUGAUGCAAGUCACAGUUUCCGGGAAAAUGAACCUAUAUGCCAUGGGGCCAGGUUAAAAGCACUUGAGUUAGGAGGCAUUUUUUUGGGGGGCGGGAGGGGAGAAGGAAAAACUUAUAAUACGGGAGCAAAGUCUGCACACCUUCCACCACAGGCACUUCCUGUCCCCGAAAUUGCAUCGCUCAUCCACGUCCCAAGGCCCCCCAUGUCUCUGCUCGGGUGGGAAACACUUCGCAACUGUAAAUAAAAUGCCAAGAGCGUGCGCUCUAAGCCUCUCUCGAACGCACAGCCACACCAAAUCCAGUAUUUCUGAUCGGCCAUGGGGCCCUAGGUCCUUCUCACUCGAGGCUCCAGGACUUCGAAUUUCACCAGCCGCCCCUCACCCCACACCUCCCCGGACCAGUGCGGCGGAGCGGGGUCGGUUUCCAGGCGCGCGUACCUGGACUCGCGCCUCUGUGAGGUCGAUCUUCAGGGCCAGCUCCUCCCGAGUGUAGAUGUCGGGGUAGUGAGUCUCCGCGAAGACCCUUUCCAGCUCUUUGAGCUGGGCACUGGUGAAAGUGGUGCGGAUGCGCCGCUGCUUGCGCUUCUCGUUGAGGCCGCCGUGGUCCGUGAAGAGUUUGUAAGGAACUAGAGUAUGACAGAGGAGACAGAAAGUGAGCAAAUCAGCCGGCAGCUCGCCGGCCGUGGAGCUAGAAUGUGAGGACUCCAAGGUCAGGUCAUACGGCAGCCGCUACCUACACCCGCGCGAGAGAGUUGCCGAGAGAAGCUGCGGGAAGAAACCGAGGAAAUUUGUUAUCUGCGGAAACCUGGGCUCAAACUUCGGGCUUGGCGGAGUCCUUUCUGGCACAAGCGCCUUUGGGUGGAUUGAAACAGCGCGAUGUGACGGACUUGAGAUAGUGCUUUCAGCAGGAAAAAACCAGAGAGGAAAAAAAUCCAAAAACAUCAGUCGGAAUAUCAGGGAGCCAGGAAAGAAGUUACCAAACAGUCCCACUUUGGGAACUUUUCAAUUCUCAGAAAGUUGACCCGGCUCAAAAGUUGGGGGAAAGAGCUGCAAAAAAAUAAUAAUAAAUUAAAGAAAUAAUCAUAAAAAUGACCAGCCAAAGAGGUGUGAGCCGCUGUCGGUUCUUAAAAAAAGAGACACUGCCAGUAAUGAGCUUUACUCUUUGUUAUUUAAUUAUUUUCUAAGCUUUACGUCUCAUCGCAAAGUAAAUAAAUUAUGCCUAUCAUUUUGGCAGCUUAAGAUAAUUUUGUUGGCGGUUCGGGUGUGACUAGGAUAGUGUAACCCUGUAAGUGAAUUACCCCUCCCUGCAAUCGCUUCUAACGUGAUAAAUUCUUUCAUUUGUGUAAGCAAAUUUCGUUUGGUAAAUACUAAACACAUUUCCAUUUUCAAAUGCAAUCAAGGCUUCCUAUAUACGGGCGGAAAGGCGGCUUCCUCCGCUGAGAAAGCUGAAGGUCCUUACCUGCGGCGUACGGACUGCUCUGGUGGUCCCUGAGGGUGCCCAGGCUGCAGGAUCCCGGCGUGAGGGAAGGGCAGCCGGACGUGGCCCCAAAAGUGGUCCUUAUCGGGUUAUACUGGAAGCCACUGGCCUGGCUGCAGGAACUGAAGUCAGCAUAGGCUGAAGCCAGGCUCGAGGUGUCCAUCCCAGCCAUACAGGACUCGUAGGCAGAGGAAUUGAGGUGUAUUUUCAAGUGAAGAUACCGAGAGCCCAGUAUCACAGAGGAAGAAAGUACUGGUGGUGACACAGCAGGUAUUUUAGAAGUGGGGGCAGCUAUUUUAGACAGCUCUUUCCUAUGUUGUUCCUGUCACACCAUGAAGAUGCCGAUUUCGUCCACCCACAAGAAAGCUGCCUUGGUCCUGGUACUCAAGGGCUCUAUGUUGCCUCCAUCAUAUCCAGAAUUAACUCCAAUAACAUGUUCUUGCAUUCUUCGUCAGCACAGCAAGGGAGCUAACUGAAAGGCAUGUCGGGAACACUGGAAUCAUUCAAUGUCUUAAACUACUCAGCCUUGAAAUACAUAUAAAAAUGAGUUAGAAUUCAAAAACUUUAAAAAUAUUUCUUUUUCUGGGCUUUCGAAAGACCCUACUGGUGCUGCUGUUUGUUUGUCUCAUUUUGUUUUCUUUAGGAGGUUUGUGGGGUUUGCCAGUAAGGUGCUGCAGCAUCAUGCAUUUUAAUGUGUAUUUCAGCUGAUUCAGAAUUUAGGACAAAUGCAAUCCAGUACUCAGGGACAGGCACCACAUGUCCUAGACCUUAGGAGCCAGAAGACAAUAAAAUGCUCACAGUGAUGCAUGUUUGUAGUAUUUCCCCUGUUAGAUAUAAUGCAUAAUAUUUAUUUUCUUUUAAAACACACACUUCUUUUCUUCUCUCUCUCUCUCUUUUUCUCUCUCCCUCUCUCUCUCCCUCUC